rnacentral:rRNA from 1 species
GGAUUGAACGCUGGCGGCAGGCCUAACACAUGCAAGUCGAGCGGUAGAGAGGUGCUUGCAUCUCUUGAGAGCGGCGGACGGGUGAGUAAUGCCUAGGAAUCUGCCUAGUGGUGGGGGAUAACGUUCGGAAACGGACGCUAAUACCGCAUACGUCCUACGGGAGAAAGCGGGGGACCUUCGGGCCUCGCGCCAUUAGAUGAGCCUAGGUCGGAUUAGCUAGUUGGUGAGGUAAUGGCUCACCAAGGCGACGAUCCGUAACUGGUCUGAGAGGAUGAUCGGUCACACUGGAACUGAGACACGGUCCAGACUCCGUACGGGAGCAGCAGUGGGGAAUAGUUGGACAAGUGGGACGAAA